UGUUAUAGUCCCAUAUCGGCUAAUAAAGGAGUGCCACAUGGGUUUAUAAGCCUAGGCCUUGUCCUCAAGCCAACAGCUUAAACAUUUUAGAAUAUAAGUAUGUGACAAGUGGUAUCAAAUAUAGCUGAAAAUAAGCCGAGUCUCGGGCCUAAACUAUAUUCAUUUUUAAUUAGGUUUCGGAACAAGACUAUUUAAAACAAGGUUCAUUGUCUCGGUACCGGAAUCCGU
rnacentral:lncRNA from 1 species